GAUGAACGCUAGCGGCAGGCCUAACACAUGCGAGUCGAGGGAGAAGCCCUUUCGGGGGCAGAAACCGGCGCACGGGUGCGUAACGCGUAUGCAACCUACCUUUCACAGGGGGAUAGCCCGAAGAAAUUUGGAUUAAUACCCCAUAAUAUUAUUGGAUGGCAUCAUUUGAUAAUUAAAACUGCGGUGGUGAAAGAUGGGCAUGCGUCCUAUUAGCUAGUUGGAGUGGUAACGGCACCCCAAGGCUACGAUAGGUAGGGGUCCUGAGAGGGAGAUCCCCCACACUGGUACUGAGACAGGGACCAGACUCCUACGGGAGGCAGCAGUGAGGAAUAUUGGUCAAUGGUCGGAAGACUGAACCAGCCAUGCCGCGUGCAGGAAGAAUGCCUUAUGGGUUGUAAACUGCUUUUAUAUGGGAAGAAUAAGGCGUACGUGUACGUUGAUGACGGUACCAUAUGAAUAAGCAUCGGCCAACUCCGUG
rnacentral:rRNA from 1 species